GACGAACGCUGGCGGCGUGCUUAACACAUGCAAGUCGAACGGAAAGGCCCUGCGUUUGUGGGGUGCUCGAGUGGCGAACGGGUGAGUACCACGUGAGUAACCUGCCCUUGACUUUGGGAUAACUUCAGGAAACUGGGGCUACUACCGGAUAGGAGCUCCUGCUCCAUGGUGGGGGUUGGAACGUUUCGGCGGUUGGGGAUGGACUCGCGGCUUAUCAGCUUGUUGGGGGGGUAGUGUCUUACCAAGGCUUUGACGGGUCGCCGGCCUGGGAGGGUGACCGGCUACAUUGGGACUGAGGAUCCGCCCAGACGCCUACGGGGGGCAUGCGCGCGUACUUUUGCCCCAUGGCCGGAAGCCGGGUGCAGCACCGCCGCGUGCGGGAGCACGGCCUUCGGGUUGUAAACCACUUUCGCCUGUGCCGAAGCGUUCGUGACGGUACCUGGUAAAGAAGCACCGGCUAACUCCGU
rnacentral:rRNA from 1 species